AAUAAGUGCAGCCAUAAAUUUUCGUGUCUAACUUUGAUCGUUCGUCUUAUUUGAAUUUUUUUUAUGAUUAGUAUUUUUAUUGUUAUUAGAUUAAAAAACAUGAAUAAUACUUUUUGCGUGACUUGUGUUUUUUUAGUUUUUUCAAAAAAAAAAAGACGGACGAUCAAAGUUGGGCAUGAAAAUUUAUGGCUACGCUUAUU
rfam:Oryza rufipogon genomic scaffold, chr11